GGCGCGAGGCGGACCUAGGGAACAAAGUCUGCAACGUAGGUUCAUGGGCGUUGACUACACAGCAAAGAUCGUGGGACUUUAGCGAUUUCUUCGGUGAGUGAAGCAGAGGAUUGCCGCGAAGGAUUUCAGGGGACGCACGUUGACGGAGGAUAGAGUUUCCGGCGGUUGAGCGUAAAGAAGACCAUCGUACACACCAAUCCGACGUUGCCUUCAUUCUUCGCUAAGGGUUUCAUAUGGGAGCCAGAAGAAUAUGGAUAGUUAUGCACGGCCGUGCACUUAGGCCUAUUUUUCUGCUUCAAUUUCUACGGGAAGCAACCACUUAUACGGAACGAGCACGGUCGUGCUUGAUUUAUUCUAUUAUGCUGCUUUUGGUGUUACGCGAAGCACACAACAAACAACAAUCGACCACCGGCAUUCAAAUGUGGCUGCAUUUCCCUGUCCGGUGCAUUUACAGUUGUUUCCGAACAACCACAGACUCAUGCAUAGCCGU